rnacentral:rRNA from 1 species
UACGGAGGGUGCAAGCGUUGUUCGGAAUCAUUGGGCGUAAAGCGCGUGUAGGCGGCUUGGGAAGUCAGUUGUGAAAGCCCGGGGCCCAACCCCGGAAUUGCAUCUGAAACUGCCUGGCUAGAGUCCCGGAGAGGAAGGCAGAAUUCCCGGUGUAGGGGUGAAAUCCGUAGAUAUCGGGAGGAAUACCAGCGGCGAAGGCGGCCUUCUGGACGGUGACUGACGCUGAGACGCGAAAGCGUGGGGAGCAAACAGG